GGAUCCAGACUUUGAUUUGGCUCAGGAUGAACGCUAGCUACAGGCUUAACACAUGCAAGUCGAGGGGAAACGACAUCGAAAGCUUGCUUUUGAUGGGCGUCGACCGGCGCACGGGUGAGUAACGCGUAUCCAACCUGCCCACCACUUGGGGAUAACCUUGCGAAAGUAAGACUGAUACCCAAUGAUAUCUCUAGAAGACAUCUGAAAGAGAUUAAAGAUUUAUCGGUGAUGGAUGGGGAUGCGUCUGAUUAGCUUGUUGGCGGGGUAACGGCCCACCAAGGCAACGAUCAGUAGGGGUUCUGAGAGGAAGGUCCCCCACAUUGGAACUGAGACACGGUCCAAACUCCUACGGGAGGCAGCAGUGAGGAAUAUUGGUCAAUGGACGAGAGUCUGAACCAGCCAAGUAGCGUGCAGGAUGACGGCCCUAUGGGUUGUAAACUGCUUUUAUAAGGGAAUAAAGUGAGUCUCGUGAGACUUUUUGCAUGUACCUUAUGAAUAAGGACCGGCUAAUUCCGUGCCAGCAGCCGCGGUAAUACGGAAGGUCCGGGCGUUAUCCGGAUUUAUUGGGUUUAAAGGGAGCGUAGGCCGGAGAUUAAGCGUGUUGUGAAAUGUAGACGCUCAACGUCUGCACUGCAGCGCGAACUGGUUUCCUUGAGUACGCACAAAGUGGGCGGAAUUCGUGGUGUAGCGGUGAAAUGCUUAGAUAUCACGAAGAACUCCGAUUGCGAAGGCAGCUCACUGGAGCGCAACUUACGCUGAAGCUCGAAAGUGCGGGUAUCGAACAGGAUUAGAUACCCUGGUAGUCCGCACGGUAAACGAUGGAUGCCCGCUGUUGGUCUGAAUAGGUCAGCGGCCAAGCGAAAGCAUUAAGCAUCCCACCUGGGGAGUACGCCGGCAACGGUGCAACUCAAAUGAAUUGACGG
rnacentral:rRNA from 1 species